CGUCUCAUCUCCUCCAGCCAGGGCACCAGGCCAGGGCCUUGACUCGCAGGAAAUCCAUUUGAGGCACCGCCGCUCGCUCACUGCCGAUUGAAUAGGCAUCUCGACAACCUAAUUGAAGCGAUCUUGUCCAGGACCAAUGUGUCCAUGGCGGAUCCCUCUAGGCUUUUCCAUACAUCGUGCACCGCCUCAGGCCGUCCCAACAGAGGUGUUGCGUCCGCAGCCGCGCACCCUGGUGUCCUCUCAGGAAGCUGCAGAUAAAUCAUAGUGGUUGCUGAACUAGUAGAGGUGGUCGUCAUCAGGAGCACGAAGGGCGUCUUCAUGAGGAUCUGCUUCGGCUCCUGCAUAUUCUCCUCCCACAUAUCAACUCUGAUCAGGCCCGGUAGUCAGAAAUAAUGAAAGAUACAAGCAAGCGGUAUCGUUUGCGUCUGCCAAAAGCUGUUGUUGCAACUUGUCCGCAAACUGGUUAGCAGAUAAAUCAGUUCACGAUGGUGGCAGCAUGAUCAAGGAAGCAAACGGCUAUCCCCUACAUCGUCGCCACAACAAUAUGUACAAAGUCAGACAAUACUGAUGCAUAGAGUUGAGCAGUUAGUACUAGCCGUAGCUACAGUCUAUUUGAUCUAAAAAAAACUACUUUUUUCAUGUAUGCUCCUUGUUAAACAUCUGUCGCAUAAAAGAUUUAACCAAGAACAACGAGUAGUAUGUCCGUUUUAGGAAACGCCAAGCUCAUGU